GUACAAAUUCACUUUCUCUGGAUCGAACACAAACUUCACUCCAAUCGCAAAUCGCCGCGAACCUCACCUCGCCACCGUAUAUCUCAACUUCACCGCCGUAUUUCUCACUUCGCCACCGUAUCACAACCUCGCACGUCUCACAUUGCCACCGUAUCUCUCAAUCGCAGAUUCUCACCUUCGUCAAGCCUUUAAAUUGGGUUACGUCGCAGCAGCAGAAGCGAUGAUGGCGAUUCUUAGCAUUUCUUCUCAUCGAUAGGGUUAGUGUUCUCAUUCUCUGAGAUUUGUGCUAUUUAUUUUGAAAUUGUUGUUGUUGCUGAUGUUGAAAUUGAUUCGUUGUUGUUAGAUUUUAAAUUAAUUUUGAAAUUGAUGUGUUUCUAUUGUUGAAAUUGAACUUGAGUUUCAAAUUGAUGUUGAAAUUGAUGUGUUUCAUCUAUAACUCGGAUAAUUCUUCCCUGCAACAUGUGAUUAUCUCGAGUUCGUAGCCGCAAAAUGAAAUUCCUCCAAUUUUUGGAUACGGUGUGCUGAUGCCAAAUCUCAGGAAUUAAAUGAAGUAAUCUCGAUGGUCUCCGGUGGCGGGUUUUCGAUGCCAAGGGCCAGGUGGUCGCUAACUGCAGAGCUCUUGCUAACUGCUUAGUUGAGCAUGAUAUAAACUGAUUUUUGGUGGUAGUGAUAAUCACCUGGUUCUUGUUGAUCUGAGGCCAUCAGGUAUUGAUGGUGCUCGAGUGGAGAAAAUUCUUGACAUGGCUUUGAUAACCCUCAACAAGAAUUCAGUGCCUGGUGACAAGAGUGCCCUGGUUCCUGGAGGCAUCCACAUCGGUUCACCAGCAAUGACAACAAGAGGACUUGGUGUGCUCAUUUUCUUUUAGAGGAAUUCUGUCAAGAUAGAAUUUUGGCGUCUGCGUGAUGCUCAAGGGAAGCCACCUGGUGUGAUUGGAUGGUGGCCUUCAAGAUCAGUCACAUUGGAAUUUUGAAGAAUUGAUUGGUUUUGUUUAGAGAAGAAUAAAUUAAUUUCUUAACUUAGUUACAAUGUAGAGUUCUCAGCUUCUUAUCAAUGUAGAGAGACAAAUAAUUCUUUUAUGCUAUUCAUAAUUCUUCAUUAUUGAAUUAACUUAACAUGAUUUUAUC